UACGUAGGGGGCUAGCGUUGUCCGGAUUUAUUGGGCGUAAAGAGCGUGUAGGCGGCCAGGUAGGUCCGCUGUGAAAGUCCGAGGCUCAACCUCGGAAUGUCGGCGGAAACCCUCUGGCUAGAGUCCGGAAGAGGAGAGUGGAAUUCCCGGUGUAGCGGUGAAAUGCGCAGAUAUCGGGAGGAACACCAAUAGCGAAGGCAGCUCGCUGGGACGUUACUGACACUGAGGCGCGAAAGCGUGGGGAUCAAACAGG
rnacentral:rRNA from 1 species